rnacentral:rRNA from 1 species
CUUGGUCCAUUAGAGGAAGUAAAAGUCGUAACAAGGUUUCCG